AUGGCCUACUCCUGCACCUAUUCUCUAUUGUCCCUCAGCUUUGGCAAAAGGCUGGCAAAAGAUAGUUGUGAAGCUUUGUUCCCUUGCUUUAUCUCCAGGAAAAGGCAGGGCCUGCAGUAUGACAUCAUCUGAGGCCUACUCU